GACACUGUACAGGGAGUCAUAGGGUUGAGGGCUCUGAGCCUCACUGACAGGCUCUCUCCUCCAGUAAACCUGCUUCCCAUCCUGGGUUAUUUCCAGUUUUGGGUGAGCUGUCAUUGAGUCCAGAGCAGGAGAACUUUGAUCUGCAAAUACAAAGGUUCGUUACACAACUAAAGAGAUAGUGGGGGUUUUAGAUUGCUCAAUAUUUGUUUCCUCACUUACAAGACCACAUUCGUGGAAAGUGUUGGGACAGAGCCACUGAGAGGUCGUCUACCAGUCUCUCUACUGUUCUUAGUUUCUCUGGGUCACAAAGGUCCUUGUCUACUUCCUUGAUUGGUGCUAAAUCCAGAGGGUCACUACAAUGGAAACUGAAAACCAUUAGAGGGCAUAACUCAGACCAAAAGAUGCCAGGUUGGAUUCAAAAGAGAGGAAUGAUAUACUGACCAAAGAUUCUUUGCUGUGAUUUGCUGUUGACAAUAAAAAGGAAACGCAGAUCAUUUGUGUCCUGGAGGAGCGACUUACUGGAUGCUCUGAGACUAUCUAUCUCUUUAAUCUGGGCCUCCAUCAUGCCCCUCUGGGCUUCCAGCCACUCUGUCAUACAUGUCUCCUCGGCGUCUAUAACCUGCAUCAUCAGACGCUCAUCGCCAUCCAGCACGACACGGAUCCUGCUGUACUUGUCUGAGAUUCUCUCUCUGAAAUCUGCAGCAAACAUCUAGGAAAUAAAGAAUUUUAAAUAAAGUGAAGGGGGAAUUCUGUGCAUAAAACACCAAUGGUUUAACAGCACUCUUUCAUGUGGAUCGCACCACUGUUUGUGUGUACAGUGACUCCAAGUCCUUGAUGGCGAACUCUGCCUCACUUCUCCUCUUCAGCAGUUGGUUCAUAGUGGUCUCUAGCAUGCCCUAAAGAUAGAAAAAUAACAGGCCUAUAGAAAGGGGGUACCCAAACAAGAAAAUUAAGUAAUCAUCAUGUCAUUUGAAAGAAAAUAAAGCACACUUGCUAAUGACGAAUCAAUGCUAACUGAUAUUGAAUGGGCUGUUUACUUGACUUGUGUUGAUUCACUGGAGCUACAUCAGAAUUACUUCUUGUCAUUACUGAGUCCUCCUCAAACAGUUCUCCAAUAAACAAAAACGUUUUAUUGUUUUAUUUUUUACAACAAUUUUACGGUGCAGAGUGAUGUUGAAAAUCUUUGUAUUCAUCCUUCCCUGUUUCAUCUGCAAUGAAGGCGUUAUGUGUCCAUGAUCAAAUAGAUCCUGUUUUUUCUUAUUAUUUACUUUUUCAGAAGUCAGUUGAUUAAUUAACAUAAUCUUCAGACCCAAGGUUACUACUUUUCAAAGUCAACCUCUGUAAUUCAGCUGAAUACAAAGCACUGCAUCAACAAAACCACCAUUGUGCUUUUACUUUGAAGAAAAUUUGCUAAGGAGGGAGUGAUUCCAUUAAUGUUAAUUCAUGUGUUGAGAUCAGCACCUGUGACACCUGUGAAUACCUGUAUCAGUCCAAUAUGGUGAAAUGACAAAUAUAUCCAAUUGUCAAAAUGA